GUGCCAGCCGCCGCGGUAAUACAGAGGGUGCAAACGUUGCUCGGAAUUAUUGGGCGUAAAGCGCGUGUAGGCGGCUCGUUAUGUCGGCUGUGAAAGCCCAUGGCUCAACCAUGGAAGUGCAGCCGAAACUGGCGAGCUUGAGUCCUGGAGAGGGUGGCGGAAUGCCCAGUGUAGAGGUGAAAUUCGUAGAUAUUGGGUAGAACACCGGUGGCGAAGGCGGCCACCUGGACAGCGACUGACGCUAAGACGCGAAAGCGUGGGGAGCGAACAGGAUUAGAAACCCCGGUAGUCC
rnacentral:rRNA from 1 species